rnacentral:misc_RNA from 1 species
GACUCACAAGCAUAUACCAUACAGAGAAAACAAGAAUCUGACCGGCACAGCUCGUUAUGCCAGUGUCAACACACACCUUGGAGUUGAGCAAAGCAGGAGAGAUGAUUUGGAAUCUCUUGGCUAUGUGCUUAUGUAUUUUCUUAGAGGAAGCCUUCCAUGGCAGGGUCUGAAAGCUGGUACCAAAAAACAGAAAUAUGAUAAAAUCAGUGAGAAGAAGAUGUUAACUCCAAUAGAGGUGCUAUGCAAAUCCUAUCCUUCAGAAUUUACAUCAUACUUCCACUAUUGUCGAUCGUUACGGUUUGAAGAUAAGCCUGACUAUUCAUACUUGAAGAGGCUGUUCAGAGAUUUGUUUAUUCGUGAAGGUUAUCAA